UUCGGAUUGUAGUCUGCAACUCGACUACAUGAAGCCGGAAUCGCUAGUAAUCGCGGAUCAGAAUGCCGCGGUGAAUACGUUCCCGGGUCUUGUACACACCGCCCGUCACACCAUGGGAGCCGGAAAUGCCCGAAGUCAGUGACCCAACCAAUAAGGAGGGAGCUGCCGAAGGCAGGUCUGGUGACUGGGGUGAAGUCGUAACAAGGUAGC
rnacentral:rRNA from 1 species